GCCUGGGAACUUCCAUAUGCUGCAGGUGCGGCCCUAGAAAAGACAAAAAAAGAAAAAAAAAAAAUUUAUUCAGUACCUACCCUAAGCCAGUCACUGAUGAGCAGAAGCAAACAUGGCCAUUGUUCUCAGGGAGCUACUGAGAAAGUCAGAUGUUGAGUCAGAUAAAGACACAAAUGAAUAUAAAGCCACCACAUGGUAACAGCUACAAGAGUGAUGCACGGAGAGUUCCCUUGUGACUCAGAGGGUUAAGGAUCUGGCAUUGUCACCACAGCACUUUAUGUCACUGCUGUGGCAUGGGUUUGAUCCCUGGUCUGGGAACUUCCACAUGCCACAGGUGCGCCAAAAAAUAAGAAGAAGAAGAUGGGGGAGGAGGAGAAGGAGAAGAAGAAAGAGCGGUUCAUGGAGACGCAAGUCAAGGAAGCUUUGGUUUCUUUGUGGGCCCCAGUGAAGAGGUGAUGAGGUGAAGACAUCUUCAAUGAGAUUUCAAAAGCUAUAAGCAUCUGCCUCAAAACGGUGCACUUCUUACCUUGUAAAGAUUUCACAGAGAAGAUGGAUGGAACACAAGAGAAAAAUCUCCAGAAAGAAAUGCCUGAAAUACACGUUCUGUAUUGCUGGUUGCCCAAGAGCAGCACCAUUAUAACUCCGUACACAGAUGACAUGAUGAUAGAUCUGCAAGGACUAGAAACCUGAUGCAAAUGAAGUCAAUAGCAUUCUGGGAUUACUAUGGUGUCUGCAGAAACUAUUGGGUUGGAAUUCCUACUCUGGUGCAUGCAUGCAUUUUAUCUACCCCUCCCUUCUCUACACAUCUGACAGCGGCUAGAGAAUGCCUCCAUCAAGACUUAUUGGAAUAUUCCUAUAAAACUGCAUGUGGUCUUGGU